rnacentral:rRNA from 1 species
UACGUAGGGUGCGAGCGUUAAUCGGAAUUACUGGGCGUAAAGCGUGCGCAGGCGGUUCGUUAUGUCCGAUGUGAAAGCCCCGAGCUUAACUUGGGAAUGGCAUUGGAAACUGGCGGACUCGAGUCCCGGAGAGGAGGGUGGAAUUCCUGGUGUAGCGGUGAAAUGCGUAGAUAUCAGGAGGAACACCGGUGGCGAAGGCGGCCCUCUGGACGGUGACUGACGCUGAGACGCGAAAGCGUGGGGAGCAAACAGG